GCCCAGAUGGUGGAAUUGGUAGACACGUCGGUCUUAGAAGCCGGUGCUUCGUGCGUGAGAGUUCAAGUCUCUCUCUGGGCACCA
rnacentral:tRNA from 1 species